rnacentral:rRNA from 1 species
UACAGAGGUGGCAAGCGUUGUUCGGAUUUACUGGGCGUAAAGGGUGCGUAGGCGGUUCUGUGUGUCGGGUGUGAAAUCCCACGGAUCAUCCGUGGAACUGCAUUCGAAACUACAGGGCUGGAGUGCAGGAGAGGAAGGUGGAAUUCUCGGUGUAGCGGUGAAAUGCGUUGAUAUCGAGAGGAACGCCAGAGGCGAAGGCGACCUUCUGGACUGCAACUGACGCUGAGGCACGAAAGCUAGGGGAGCAAACAGG